GCUGCGCGAGUGGCAGCCGGAGCGGCGGGAGGCGCCACGGCCGGCCCCAGCGGAGCGGCGCUUCUGCAGCGUCUGCGGGACGCACUACACCGAGGAGAGCGCGGCACAGCACGAGCGCUCCACUGCCCACCUCUUCAGCCGGGGCGACCCGGCGCCGCCCACCCGCUACCACAUCCCCGAGACCAACGUUGGCUUCCGGCUCCUUGUCAAGGGCGGCUGGGACGGCCGCACUGGGCUGGGCCCUGCUGGCGACGGGCGCCGCUUCCCCGUGCAGACCCUUCUCAAGCGGGACCACCAGGGCCUGGGCUGCCCCAGCACCCUCCGGCCCCGCGUCACCCACUUCGAGGCCCGCGACGCUGCUGCCGUGGCCGAGCCACCCAAGCCACGGGCUGAGCGGGCCGGAGCGGCGGGGAAGCGCCAGGCCCAGCGCCGGGAGGCCGCCGCACGGGCCUGGGAGCGCGACCUCCGCGCCUACAUGGGCCGCUGAGCGCCAGCGGCCCCGGCCGCCAGGGCCUGCCCCAGCCCCCCUCCCACUGGCGGCACAAUUGGGGCAGAAACCCAGCUUCCGCGUGCUGGGCAACGCAGCCGGCGCUGCCCGGGCCUCCGGAGCUGCUCGCUGUGGCGCUGCCGGUGAGUCUGAUCUGCUGGGGCACAGUGUAACCCCCGCGCGACGUAGUGUCGGGGGUCUGCAGUGCCGCUCUGGGCCCUCGAAUCGCCCCCAGCCCGGGGCCGGCCCUCCCUGCCCCCGUUGACCCUCCCUGUUCCCCCUCGUUCGCCCUGCGGAUCCCCCGUUGAUUACCCGUCGAUCCCUGUUCGUCCCGUUCACCCCAGUGAUCCCCAUUGCUCCCCACUUAUCCCCCUUCACCCCGGAGACCCGCUCAGGGUCCCCUCGUUCACCUCACUGCCCCUCUGGUCCCCCUUGGCCCCCGUUGACCCCCUUCCCCCCCGCGCGGGUCCCUCCGAGCCGCCAGGCGGCGCUGCCCUGCCCCCUCCCCGCCAGUGACGCCACCUCCGCCCUUCCCUGUCGCCACUUCCGCUCCCUCCGGGGCCGCUUCCGCCCGGGGCCUCCAUGGGCUCCCGCCGGCGGCGCCGGGCCCCCGGCGAGGGGCACCGCGGUGAG
rnacentral:lncRNA from 1 species